CCGCAAGGGGUAACUGAGUGGCGAACGGGUGAGUAACACGUGGGUGACCUACCUUCGAGUGGGGGAUAACGUCCCGAAAGGGACGCUAAUACCGCAUAACAUCCUGCCUUUGAACAGGCGGAGAUCAAAGCCGGGGAUCGCAAGACCUGGCGCUUGAUGAGGGGCCCGCGUCCGAUUAGCUAGUUGGUGAGGUAAUGGCUCACCAAGGCAACGAUCGGUAGCCGGCCUGAGAGGGCGGACGGCCACACUGGGACUGAGACACGGCCCAGACUCCUACGGGAGGCAGCAGUGGGGAAUUGUUCGCAAUGGACGCAAGUCUGACGACGCAACGCCGCGUGGAGGAUGAAGGUCUUCGGAUUGUAAACUCCUGUUGCCCGGGACGAAAAGCUUCGACCUAAUACGUCGAAGUCUGACGGUACCGGGUGAGGGAGCCCCGGCUAACUCUGUGCCAGCAGCCGCGGUAAUACAGAGGGGGCAAGCGUUG
rnacentral:rRNA from 1 species